rnacentral:misc_RNA from 1 species
GAUUUUGAUCGUUUUAUGUUUGUUAUCUUUCGUUGGGUUGUCAGUUUUUAUUUUUGUUGUUUACAUGAAUGAGAACUUCUGAAGAAAAGUGAAAUCCUUGUUAAACCCUUCAAUCAUCUAACUCCACGCAGGAUUUUCUUGUCUGAGUGGCGAACUAUGCUUUUUUGGGAAUUUAAAAUUUAAAGGUCAAUUCUUUAGUUGAAUGUGUGCAUAUUACAGCUUGUUGGAGUGAGUGGUUUCCAUUGGAUUGGAUCAUGCAUUGAACAUGCAAUGCAAAAUUUUUCAUAGUUUACUUAGGAUGGGCUAAGAUUGGCAUCAUCUUGGUAAUAUGUGAACCCAAUUGUAGUGUGAAUUUAUUCUGAUCAUCUCUAUGACUGAUUUCCUCUGGAUGCUAUGUAGCUUCAUUUGGUGUCCAAUGGACAGCUUUUACUGGUGGAGCCUAUUUUCA